rnacentral:lncRNA from 1 species
GGGAAUAGGGAUGUCAAUGGAUAUGGAUAUCGAAAAUUUUAUCCGAAUCUGAACCCGAACCCGAAUGAAACGGAUAUAUCCGAUGGAUAUGGAUAUGGAUAUAGAUUUGGAUAUGAAUAUAAAAAAUAAAAACCCGACGGAUAUGGAUUCGGAUAUGGAUUUUGAUGGUACCCGACCCAAACCCGAACCCUUUCCCGAUCCGAACCCGAAUUUAUUUUGUAUUAUAUAUAAUAUAUAUAUAAAAAUUUGAUGUUAUAUUUGAAUUUGUAUUUUAAAAAUUUAAAUUUAAUAUAAUAUAUUUUGAAAUAUUGAAAAAAGAAAUAAUUAUUCGGGUUUAAAUUUUCGGGUUCGGGUUCGGGUUCGGAUUUCAAAUUUUUGGUCAGGUUCGGAUUUAGAUAUGGAUUUUUAAAAUUCGUCAGGUUCGGAUUCGGGUUCGGGUCUCGGGUUUGGAGUCGGGUUCGGGUUCGAGUUUUUAAAAAUCCGCCCCGAAUCCGACCCGUUGACAUCUCUAAUCGAGAAU